rnacentral:tRNA from 1 species
GUUCUUGUAGUUGAAUUACAACGGUGGUUUUUCAAGCCACAGGUCUUGGUUGAAUUCCUGGCAAUAACU